AGAGUUUGAUCCUGGCUCAGGACGAACGCUGGCGGCGUGCCUAAUACAUGCAAGUCGUGCGGACCUUUUAAAAGCUUGCUUUUAAAAGGUUAGCGGCGGACGGGUGAGUAACACGUGGGCAACCUGCCUGUAAGAUCGGGAUAACGCCGGGAAACCGGGGCUAAUACCGGAUAGUUUUUUCCUCCGCAUGGAGGAAAAAGGAAAGACGGCUUUUGCUGUCACUUACAGAUGGGCCCGCGGCGCAUUAGCUAGUUGGUGGGGUAACGGCUCACCAAGGCAACGAUGCGUAGCCGACCUGAGAGGGUGAUCGGCCACAUUGGGACUGAGACACGGCCCAAACUCCUACGGGAGGCAGCAGUAGGGAAUCUUCCGCAAUGGACGAAAGUCUGACGGAGCAACGCCGCGUGAGUGAAGAAGGCCUUCGGGUCGUAAAACUCUGUUGCCGGGGAAGAACAAGUGCCGUUCGAACAGGGCGGUGCCUUGACGGUACCCGGCCAGAAAGCCACGGCUAACUACGUGCCAGCAGCCGCGGUAAUACGUAGGUGGCAAGCGUUGUCCGGAAUUAUUGGGCGUAAAGCGCGCGCAGGCGGCUUCUUAAGUCUGAUGUGAAAUCUUGCGGCUCAACCGCAAGCGGUCAUUGGAAACUGGGAGGCUUGAGUGCAGAAGAGGAGAGUGGAAUUCCACGUGUAGCGGUGAAAUGCGUAGAGAUGUGGAGGAACACCAGUGGCGAAGGCGCAUCUCUGGUCUGUAACUGACGCUGAGGCGCGAAAGCGUGGGGAGCAAACAGGAUUAGAUGCCCUGGUAGUCCACGCCGUAAACGAUGAGUGCUAAGUGUUAGAGGGUUUCCGCCCUUUAGUGCUGCAGCUAACGCAUUAAGCACUCCGCCUGGGGAGCACGGCCGCAAGGCUGAAACUCAAAGGAAUUGACGGGGCCCGCACAAGCGGGGGAGCAUGUGGUUUAAUUCGAAGCAACGCGAAGAACCCUGGUAAGAUCCCUGAAAGAUGAUCAGGUUGAUAGGUCCGGGGUGGAAGCGCGG
rnacentral:rRNA from 1 species